CUCGCGAUCUCGUUUCGCAAGGGGGCGACGUCUCAUUCUCGCUGAUAACUCCACAGCAAAUCUCUGCCAUUUUCGAUAACCUCCUUAAGCUACCGGAGUAAAAUCCCUCGAGAAAUUAUCACCAGAGUAGCAAAACCUAAGCGAAAAGAUGAAGAAGAAGGUGCUCGCGCGCUCAUUAGCGAAGCUUUAAAAGGACUUCUAUGGACACCUUUUUACGUAGGGACUUGAAGGAGCGCCCCCCCCCCCCCCCCCCCCCCCCCUCUCUCUCUCUCUCUCUCUCUCUCUCUGCUUCCUUUUGGCCUGAUGGCCACGGUCAGCUGCCCGUUCCACAUCGGGCAGACCGGACAGGUACUGUAGUGGGUGACGCAGUGCUCUUCCGCCUAAAUGACCACAUCUGCGCCGUUGAUCUCUUUCCUUUGCUCUCUUUUUUUCCACAUCAUGAUCAAACACGUGUACCUGCCGCUUCCCAGUACUAAGGUACGUGGCCCAAUCGAAUUCCAACAACACGAUAAUUAGGGAACUUCCUUUCCUGACACGCAUGUGGCCCUCUCUCUCCUCCUCUCCUAGGCGUCGCCUCGUCUCUCUUUGAUUUUUCUUUUUUCUUUGAAAAAAAAAAUUCUUUUGUUUGUUUUAAAAUAAAUAAAUAAGGAAAUUUCAUUUAUUAUUUUUGGGGUUUAAAUUGAUUUUGAAAUCGACGCCACGUGUUCCACCUUAGAAUAAGGAAUGAGCCACUGUUUUUUAAAAAAAAUUCGAACUUUAUUCCCUUUGGGCCCUGUGGUCCAAUCAGACUCUUCUACGUAUCAGUUUCUUGAUUUUGACAUGUGGGCCCAGGUGUCUACUUCGUUGACGCCUAUAGAAUAUCUAAGCCGGGGUGGUCUGCUCCUUCCCUCCAUUUUCUCUUCUCUCCAUGAACACGUGUCUAAAUAAGGGAUGAGCUCCAUCGACCCGACCCGUAACACGUUUUGACCACAAGCCCCUCCCUAUACAACCAACCGUAUCUAGCCCGUGGCAAUGUCGGAUUUACCCCCCACUAACCGUAUCCUUUGAUAAAUAAUGAUGCGUAAUACUUUUUCAGUUGGGACAGCAGAGGAGAGCCGAAGAGACAUAAAAUAUAAUCACUCAAAGAAAAGGAUUUUUUAUUACACGUGUUGGAGAAGCACUGGACAACGUGGAUAGUAACAGAUAGGACAGUACGGUGGGGAGGAGAGAAGGGGGAAUGGGGUCUACAAAUGAAUAACAACAGAGGCCUUAGAUAGGCAUCCACGUGGAAAAUCUAGCUGGCUAGCAAUUGUACUAAUAACAGAAGCAUGAAAUUGACAGGAGACAGAGUUAGUGCCACGUGACGAUCGAGGCCACCACGACACAAAACAAAUCCAAAAGACUAAACCCAACCCAACCCAACCCAACACCCUGACUCGGUGGUUAAGUAGUAAACCCCAAGUACCCAAACCAUGGUCAGGUCAUCUUCGUCGUGUUGAAUGAAACCCUACUGCAACUCAAAUCUAAACCCAAAUCAUGGAGAAAUAUCAGGAGAGGGAGAGAGAGUGGUGGGGGGAAGUAGUGAUGGAAAGGGUGGACACGUGGAGAGAGGGGGUGAGAAAGAGAGCUGAGGGAAUUGGGAGGAUAGGGGGAAGGGAAAGGGGUACGUGUAAGAAAGAAGAAGGGAGGGAGUACAUAGGCAGGGAAGUACCGGAGUUUGAAUCACAUUUGGUGCAGUGACAUGUAGCAUUGCAUUAUGUGUUGCAUUUUUCAGUAUCGGCGUGUGUUCUGCAUCGAUCUGCAGGAAAAAUAUAUAUAUAUAUAUAUAUAUAAAUAUAUAAAUAUAUAUAAAAUAUAUAAAGGCAGACACAUAUUUUUCUAUGUUUUGAGUUUGACACAACCUACUGCUACGUUGUCCUCGUUCUGACACACCCGACUUCCACAUCAUCUUCAUCAUCAUCAAUCAUCUAUAUUCCGCUUCAUAUUUUUCC